rnacentral:misc_RNA from 1 species
GAUGAAGAACGCAGCGAAAUGCGAUACGUAAUGUGAAUUGCAGAAUUCAGUGAAUCAUCGAGUCUUUGAACGCACAUUGCGCCCCCUGGUAUUCCGGGGGGCAUGCCUGUCCGAGCGUCAUUGCUGCCCUCAAGCACGGCUUGUGUGUUGGGCCUCCGUCCUCCUCCCGGGGGACGGGCCCGAAAGGCAGCGGCGGCACCGCGUCCGGUCCCCGAGCGUAUGGGGCUUCGUCACCCGCUCUUGUAGGCCCGGCCGGCGCUUGCCGACACAUCAAUCUUUUUUCCAGGUUGACCUCGGAUCAGGUAGGGAUGCCCGCUGAACUUAAGCAUAUCAAUAAGCGGAGGA